rnacentral:snRNA from 1 species
AUCUUUGUGCUUGGGGCAACGACGCAAUUAAUGAGGUGAAACCGAGACGCGUCAAUUGCUAGUUGAAAACUAUUUUCAUUUCCAUUUCCAUAUUCAACAAUUUUUUCACCUUGAUUGGUUGUAGAUUGAAAAACUAUUGAAAGAACAUGAAU